CCGAGCAAACACGCGGAAGAGGAGCAGUCUAGACACUAGACCCGGACCGGUUGCAAAGCCCGUCACAAAGGCGGCAGUGACCGUCUGCACCACACGCUGGGAAGCGGAGACGGGUGAAGUCAGAGCGACUUCCCCAAGGUCAUUGAUCAAGUCAUGGCCAGCCAGACUCAGGCCCCUGACUGCGUGCCCAGCCUGCGCUUUGAUGACCAGCCAGUGGUGUGCUAGACGGACGGGGGAGGUAAUACCAGUUUCUACUGGUGAAAGAGCCCCGCUUUCCAGCCACACAGCGCUCAGGUAGUCCCAGCAUCACAGCAAAGUGCAACAAAGGAACAGACUCUUUAGCAUCUGACCUUAUACAACAUCAGUUUGUUCUUUCCAGGUUGCACAUUGGAGGACUAACUUAGUGUGUUUGUUUAUACAACUAAAGGACCAUACAGAUCAAUGGUUGGACUCAAACAAACAAGAUAGUGUGCUUCAGAAACUUACUGGAGGUGAUCUAUGAGCCGGAAUAUGAACACAUCAACACUGACCAAAAUGAAGGCACAGUUAUAACAUACAGGAGACAUGCAGAAUCAAUGGUGGAAUGCCAAAGUAGAUGACAUCCAGGGCUAUGAUGACUGUCAUGAGACCUAAGACUUCUAUGCUGCAUUGAAAAUUGUAUAUGGUUCUACACAUACCACUACAGUGCCUUUGAAGAGUGUGGACAGCCUAACAAUAGUCACUGACAAAGGAGAAAUCCUUCAGAAGUGGCGACAGCAUUUCAGUGAUCUUUUUCCCAUACCGACCAACAUCACAAACGAGUCACUAGAUGAAGUCAAUGCUGCAAUCAGUGCCAUGAAGAACUGCAGGGCUCCUGGAUCUGAUGGCAUACCUGCAGAAAUAUUUGAGUAUGGAGGUGAGAUCAUUCUGAGGCAACUACAUGGACUAUAUCUCAUAUAUGGAGUAGUGAAGACAUAUCUCAAGAUUUCAAAGACACCACUGUCACCAUAUACAAAAGGAAAGAUGGAAAGUCGAACUGUGAUAACUAUUUUGGUAUUUUAUUACUCUCCAUUGCUAGAAAGGUUCUGACUAGAGAAGGUCACCAAGGUCUUCAAGGUAAUUGUUCAUAGACUGCCAUAUGCUGCUGACUGUGUUCUAGAGGCACAUACUCUAGAAGAGAGACAAUUGAUUACAAACAGAUUUGUAGACCCUGCAGAAAGGUAUGGUCCAACAAUCAAUCUAAAAAAGACAGAGGUCACGUAUCAACCUGCACCAGAGAAACCCUACAUGAAACCAAAAGUCACCCUCAGCAACAACAGCUGAAUUCUGUUACAGACUUCUGCUGUCUUGGUAGUAUAUUCUCAAAUGAUGUUACUAUAGACAAGGAGCUGACAAGUUGUAACACAAAGCCAGUUCACCAUUUGCCAGAUAUCAGGCAGAGACUGGCAGCAACAUGGCAUUAAGCUUCAAACCAAAUUAAAAGUCUAUUAAGCAGUUGUGCUGUUCAACUUGUUGUAUAGGUGUGAGACCUGGACCUGGCAUCACAUUAAGCUUUCAGAUAAGUUCCAUUUAUGACAUCUGCCUGCCAUACUCUGCAUCAAAUAGCAGGAUAAAGUUACCAAUAACGGGGUUCUGGAAUGUAGUCACUCCACAGGGACUGAAGCCGUGCUUAUCGCAUCACAUUUACGUUGGGUUGGUCAUGUGUUGAGAAUGGACAACACCAGAAUGCCAAAGCAGUUGCUGUUUAGUGAACUGAAAGAGGGCAACCACAUAUGAAGCGGCCAGAAGAAACACUUCAAGGACACACUAAACUGUGCAAUACUGGUGUUGUCAGCAACAGAUAGAUCACACUCAGCAAUGGGGUUACCCAGUUAAGAUUAACUGUUAUGUGGAUCUUGAAGCAUGGAGGCUGAGUCUUAAACAGCAGCAGACUCAGCAGGCAGAGACUGUAAUCCCUUCCUCAGCACUGAGUUACCUCUGUACUUCAUAAGGAAAGGACUGCCCAGGGCCAGUUCCAGCUUUUUUGCCGGCCCAAG